rnacentral:rRNA from 1 species
GACGUAGGGCGCGAGCGUUGUCCGGAUUUAUUGGGCGUAAAGAGCUCGUAGGCGGUUUGUUGCGUCGGCUGUGAAAUCCCGAGGCUCAACCUCGGGUCUGCAGUCGAUACGAGCAAACUAGAGUGUUGCAGGGGAGACUGGAAUUCCUGGUGUAGCGGUGAAAUGCGCAGAUAUCAGGAGGAACACCAAUAGCGAAGGCAGCUCGCUGGGACGUUACUGACACUGAGGCGCGAAAGCGUGGGGAGCGAACAGG